AACGUAGGAGACAAACGUUAUCCGGAGUUACUGGGCGUAAAGGGCGUGUAGGCGGUUAGUUAAGUCUGGCGUGAAAGCCCUCGGCUAAACCGGGAGAGGUCGUUGGAUACUGGCUGACUAGAGGACGGUAGAGGCGUGUGGAAUUCCGGGUGUAGUGGUGAAAUGCGUAGAGAUCCGGAGGAACACCAGUGGCGAAGGCGACACGCUGGGCCGUACCUGACGCUAAAGCGCGACAGCAUGGGGAGCAAACGGG
rnacentral:rRNA from 1 species